GAUGAACGCUGGCGGCGUGCCUAAUACAUGCAAGUCGAGCGAACAGACGAGGAGCUUGCUCCUCUGACGUUAGCGGCGGACGGGUGAGUAACACGUGGAUAACCUACCUAUAAGACUGGGAUAACUUCGGGAAACCGGAGCUAAUACCGGAUAAUAUAUUGAACCGCAUGGUUCAAUAGUGAAAGACGGUUUUGCUGGCACUUAUAGAUGGAUCCGCGCCGCAUUAGCUAGUUGGUAAGGUAACGGCUUACCAAGGCAACGAUGCGUAGCCGACCUGAGAAGGUGAUCGGCCACACUGGAACUGCGACACGGUCCAGACUCCUACGGGAGGCAGCAGUAUGGAAUCUUCCGCAAUGGGCGAAAGCUUGACGGAGCAACGCCGCGUGAGUGAUGAAGGUCUUCGGAUCGUAAAACUCUGUUAUUAGGGAAGAACAAAUGUGUAAGUAACUAUGCACGUCUUGACGGUACCUAAUCAGAAAGCCACGGCUAACUACGUG
rnacentral:rRNA from 1 species